UCCCGGUACUAUUUUUCCUCAAGUGCAGAG
rnacentral:piRNA from 1 species